UACAGAGGGUGCGAGCGUUGUCCGGAAUUAUUGGGCGUAAAGAGCUUGUAGGCGGUUUGUCGCGUCUGCCGUGAAAUUUCGGGGCUCAACCCCGAACUUGCGGUGGGUACGGGCAGACUAGAGUGUGGUAGGGGAGACUGGAAUUCCUGGUGUAGCGGUGAAAUGCGCAGAUAUCAGGAGGAACACCGAUGGCGAAGGCAGGUCUCUGGGCCACUACUGACGCUGAGAAGCGAAAGCAUGGGGAGCGAACAGG
rnacentral:rRNA from 1 species